GAUGAACGCUGGCGGCGUGCCUAAUACAUGCAAGUCGAGCGAACGGACGAGAAGCUUGCUUCUCUAAUGUUAGCGGCGGACGGGUGAGUAACACGUGGAUAACCUACCUAUAAGACUGGGAUAACUUCGGGAAACCGUAGCUAAUACCGGAUAAUAUUUUGAACCGCAUGGUUCAAAAGUGAAAGGCGGUCUUGCUGUCACUUAUAGAUGGAUCCGCGCUGCAUUAGCUAGUUGGUAAGGUAACGGCUUACCAAGGCAACGAUGCAUAGCCGACCUGAGAGGGUGAUCGGCCACACUGGAACUGAGACACGGUCCAGACUCCUACGGGAGGCAGCAGUAGGGAAUCUUCCGCAAUGGGCGAAAGCCUGACGGAGCAACGCCGCGUGAGUGAUGAAGGUCUUCGGAUCGUAAAACUCUGUUAUUAGGGAAGAACAUAUGUGUAAGUAACUGUGCACAUCUUGACGGUACCUAAUCAGAAAGCCACGGCUAACUACGUG
rnacentral:rRNA from 1 species